CUUAGGGUUGUAAAGUCCUGUCAGAAGGGAAGAAAUGCAUAUAAGCCAAUACCUUAUAUGUUUGACGGUACCUUCAAAGGAAGCACCGGCUAACUCCGUGCCAGCAGCCGCGGUAAUACGGAGGGUGCAAGCGUUGUUCGGAAUUACUGGGCGUAAAGGGCGCGUAGGCGGCCUGAUAAGUCAGAUGUGAAAGCCCACGGCUCAACCGUGGAAGUGCAUCUGAAACUAUCAAGCUUGAGUAUGGGAGAGGAAAGUGGAAUUCCCGGUGUAGAGGUGAAAUUCGUAGAUAUCGGGAGGAACACCAGUGGCGAAGGCGACUUUCUGGACCAAUACUGACGCUGAGGCGCGAAAGCGUGGGGAGCAAACAGGAUUAGAUACCCUGGUAGUCCACAGCUGUAAACGAUGUACACUAGGUGUUGGGGGUGUUGACCCCUCCAGCGCCGCAGCUAACGCAUUAAGUGUACCGCCUGGGGAGUACGGUCGCAAGA
rnacentral:rRNA from 1 species